CCCUAAACCCAAACAUUUAAUCAACUAAAAUGUUCGCCAGAGCACUACUAGCAACAGCCUAAAACUUAAAGGACUUGGCGGUGCUUCAUACCCCCCUAGAGGAACCUGUCCUAUAAUCGACAUACCCCGAUAAACCUCACCACCCCUAGCCAACACAGCCUAUAUACCGCCAUCCCCAGCAAACCUUAGAAAGAACCACAGUAAGCACAACUAUUAACCACAAGCACGUUAGGUCAAGGUGUAGCCAAUGAGGUGGAAAGAGAUGGGUUACAUUUUCUUACAAAAGAAAAUCAACGAAAGUUUCUAUGAAACCCUAGAAACCAAAGGAGGAUUUAGAAGUAAAUCAAGAAUAGAGAGCUUUAUUGAACC
rnacentral:rRNA from 1 species